GAUGAAGAACGUAGCGAAAUGCGAUAAGUAAUGUGAAUUGCAGAAUUCAGUGAAUCAUCGAAUCUUUGAACGCACAUUGCGCCCCCUGGUAUUCCGGGGGGCAUGCCUGUUCGAGCGUCAUUUCACCACUCAAGCCUCGCUUGGUAUUGGGCAACGCGGUCCGCCGCGUGCCUCAAAUCGUCCGGCUGGGUCUUCUGUCCCCUAAGCGUUGUGGAAACUAUUCGCUAAAGGGUGUUCGGGAGGCUACGCCGUAAAACAACCCCAUUUCUAAGGUUGACCUCGGAUCAGGUAGGGAUACCCGCUGAACUUCAGCAUCUCAAUAAGCGGAGGA
rnacentral:misc_RNA from 1 species